rnacentral:pre_miRNA from 1 species
AGUGUGAUUGCUGGAUCAUAUGGUAAGAGUAUAUUUAGUUUUUUAAGAAACUGCUAAACUAUCUCCCAAAGCGAUUUUACCAUUUUGCAUUCUUACCAGCAAU